rnacentral:rRNA from 1 species
AUGAACGCUAGUAGUAUGCUUAACACAUGCAAGUUGAACGAAGUUAUUUUCGUAGCGAACGGGUGAGUAACAUGCAGAAUGCUGCCUUUUAGUUUAGGAUAAAAAAAUUUAUAAUAUAAAUUUUUGAAUACUGGAUAUUUGUAAAGGUUAUAUUUGAAAAAAUAUUUCCGCUAAAAGAUGGGUCUGUGUAAGAUUAGGUAGUUGGUAAAUUUAACAGCUUACCAAGCCUUCGAUCUUUAGUUGGUCUUAGAGGAUGAUCAACCACACUGGAACUGAAAUAAGGUCCAGGCUGAUUUUUCGGCCAGCAGUGAGGAAUAUUGGACAAUGAACGAAAGUUUGAUCCAGCAAUACUAUCUGAAUGAAGACGGCUUUUUAGGUUGUAAAGUUCUUUCAUUAGGAAUGAUAAUGACAUUACCUAAAGAAGUAAGUCCCGGCAAAUACUCGUGCCAGCAGCCGCCGUAAAAC